AGCCACUCUGCAUCUUCCCAAUGCAAGUCCGUGUCCCACUCCCACAAUCUGUUUCGUGCUUGUCUGUCCUCUGCGAGUUUGGCAUUGCAUCACUGUGUACCCAGGGAGAGGACUGGCAGCUACCUUCCUGGGUUGGAGUUCUGCUUUUGGUUUGCUGCCAGGCUGGCUGUGCUAACUGCUAGCUACAUUCUCACCUGUGUGCUCCCUGACUGGCAAUCCUUCAUCCUGCUGCUGUCUACGACCCCCACGUUUGUGCUGUGUCCGUCUCGAUGUGCUCAGAACUUGCACAAAACAGAAAAGUACAGCUCAGUGGUAUAGUCCAAAAUGAGCGGUCAUGCGACCACCAUGUAGGGGCAAGGACAGUACUCUGCCUGCACUCUGGGAGCUGCUCUGUGAACUCACCGAGGCACCAUCCUUCCCUUCUCCCAGAGAUCACCAUGAUCCCAACUAUGGUUGUAAUCACCUCUUUGCUUUUCUUUCCCAUCAAAGCACUGCAGUUUAGUUUUGCAUAUAUUUUGAACUCUACAUAAAUGCAUCAAUCUAGUAAGAUAUUCUUUUGUUUGUAGCUUCUGCUGCUCAACAUUAUGUAUUCGUGAAACUCAUCAAUGUUGCUGCAUGUAACUGUAUUCUGUUCCUUUUCAUUACUGUACAGAAUUCCAGUGUUUGGAUAAAUUAUAAUUUGUAUAUCUACUAUUAAAGGACAUUUCAGCUUACAGUUUGGGGUCAUUCUAAACAAUGCUGCUGUAAACAUUCUUGUACCUGCCUCUUGGAGCAACAUUUCUGUUAAAUAUUAAUCAAGGGUGAAAUGUUUUGAUCAUGGUGUGAUGUAUUUUCAAUUUUAGUAGCUGACGUCAAAGAGUUUUCCAAAAUAGUUGUACCAUUUUCCCAUUUUCCCAAGUGAUGUAUGUGAGUUUCUAUUGCUCCACAUCCAUAAUGACGGUUUAUUUUUCUGUGUUUUCCCCACUUUAGCCAUUCUGGUGAGUGUAUAACAGUAUACUAUGGUGGUUUUAACUUUUAAAAACAUUGUUUUCAUUAUUAGUGAGGCUGACCAUCUUUUCACAAGUGUAUUGGUUACCUGAAUUUCUUAUUUUUGUGAAGUACCUGUCCAAGGCUCUUGUCCAGUUUUCUCUUGAGUUGUGUAUCUUGUCUUAUUAAUGUAGGCGUUCCUUGUGUGUUUUGGGCAAAAGCUUUAUUUGGUUACAUGUGUUACAAAUAUUUUUCUCUCAUUCUGUGGCUUGCAGUUUUACUUUCUUUCAAGUUUCUUUUGUUUGUAGAAAUUCUUCAUUCUGAGAAUUUUGUUUUCUUCUCUCAUCUUUUUUCUUUUGUGGUUAGUACUUUCCCUACUUCAGUGUUAUGAGGAUUGUCUCUUGUAUUAUUUUUAAUAUUUUCUGUGCCAUGGAUUUCUUUUUUGAGACAGGGUCUUGCUGUGUCACCCAGGCUGGAGUGCGGUGGUGCCAUCAUAGCUCACUGCAGCCUAGACUUCCCAGGCUCAGGUGAUUCUCCCACCUCAGUCUCCCGAGGAGCUGAGAUUACUGGCAUGCGCCACCAUGCCUGGCUAAUUUUUUUUGCAUUUUUAGUAGAGAUGAGGUUUCCCCAUGUUGCCCAGGCUGGUCUCGAACUCCUGACCUCAAGUGAUUUUUCUGCUUUGGCCUCCCAUGGUGUGGGAUUACAGGUGUAAACACCUCAGAAAAACAUUUUAAAUGUAUAAUAUGAAAUACACAUGAUUAAAAAGGAAGCUAAUGUUGUCAAAAUACAGUUGUUAAAAUAUUUUUAAAAGUCAUUUUGUAUAGUAAUUUAUGUGCUUUUUGUUAACAUUAGAUACCAAGCUCUAGCAAUGGGUCAAAUAACUACAAUAAUUUUGAAGUAAAACUGAGUGGAAGUGAUAUAUAAAGCAAUCUGCAACAUCUGUAGUGUAAAAUGAAAAUACCUAUGAUUACUGUUGGUGCCAACUAGACAGGUGCUGCUAACACUACUGUGGAUUGUUGUCUAUAUUCAUAAUUGAAGGAAAUCGUGAAUUUGAGUCUGAAAAGUUAUAUAAAAUAAACAUCAGUUAUUUUUUCCUGUCCAAGUUUAUGAACUUUCUGAAUUCUAGCUGUGAACUCUUUGGGAGUUCACAGUGUAGACACCAGGCUAAGAGCUCUUGUUCUAUAAGCUCGAUUGCUUUACUUUUGGCAUGCGGUUCCAGAAUCCAUUUGGAGCUGGCAUUGUUAUGGUAUGAGGUGGGGAUUAGGUUUCUUUUUUUUUUUUCCACCACAGAGAUUUCCAACUUUUCUUAGCAUUACUGACUGAAAAGAACCUCUACCUUAGACUAUUUUGCGGUACCACCUUUCUUAUCAGUUACAUGUAAGUUGAGCAUCCCAAAUCCAAAAAUUUGAAAUCCAAAAUGCUCCAAAAUCUGAAAUGUUUUGAGCAUCAAAACAAUGUUCAAAGGAAAUGCUCACUGGAGCAUUUUCAAUUUUUGGAUUAGGGAUGUUCAACCAAUAAGUAUGUAAUGCAAAUAUUUAAAAAUCCAAAAUAAUCAAAAAUCUGAAACACGUACGGUCUCAAGUUGAUCAGGGACACUCAUCUGUAUAUAUAUGUGGUCUGCUUUUGGACUCAGUAUUUCAUCCCAUUGGUCUAUUUGUUUUGGCAAAUAUUCCAUAUUGUCGUAAUUACUACAGAUUUAAAAUUGGACUUGAUAUCUGGUGGAGCAAGUCCUCUAACUGUUCUACUUGAAUAUUGUCUUAGCUACUUUUGACCCUUUGCAUUUUUACACAAACUUUUGUAUUAGAUUGUGAAGUACCACCAAAACCAAAUCAAACCAAACCAAACCAAACCAACACAACAUCCACCACCCCAUCCUACCCCAAAUAAUAACUGUUGUGUUUUGAUUGGCAUUAACUUAGAUCUAUAAUUCAGUCUUAAUUCAUGAAUUUUAUUUAGGUCUUAUUUAUUUAUUUGUGUGUGUGUGUGUAUGUGUGUGUGUGUGUACAGUGGUGUGACCAUAGCUCACUGCAGCCUCAAAUUCCUAGGCUCAAGCAGUCCUCCUGCCUCAACCACCCACUUCCUCCACACUCUGUGUAGAGUAACUAGGACUCCAGGUGUGUGCUGCAGUCAGUGCCCAGCUAAUUUUUUUUUUUCUUGGUUGAGACAGUGUCUUGCUUUGUUUUCCAGGCUGGUCUCGAACUCCUGGCCUCAAGCAAACCUCCCACUUCAGCCUCCCGAAGUGUUGGGAUUACAGGCAUGAGCCAUGGUACCCAGCCUAAUUUUUUUUUGUUUUUUAAAGAAAUCAGUAGAUUUCACUUUUUAUAACAGUUUUAGAUUUACAGAAAAAUUGCUAAUACAGAAAGUUUACACAGCAUCCCCUCCAACAUGUGCAGUUUCCCCUAUCAUUAACAUCUUGCAUUAGUGUGGGACAUUUGUUAAAGUUAAUGAAUCAUUAAUACAUUAUUAUUAGCUAAAAUCCAGGCUUUAAUUAAGAUUGACUUUUUGUUUUGUAUAGUUCUAUGGGUUUUGACAAGUGCGUAAUAUAAUGUAUCUACCAUUAAACUAUCAUACAGAAUAGUUUCACUGCCCCAAGAAUCUCAUUUGCUUCAAUUAUUCAUCACUUUUCUACUUCCCCCCAAACCCAGGUAACCCCUGAUAUUUUUACUUUACAUAGUUUUGUCUUUUUCAGAUGUCACACGGUUGGAAUUACAGAGUAGGCAUUUCAGACUGGUUUCCUUCACUUAGCAAUAUAUAUUUAAAGUUCCUCCAAGUCUUUUUGUGGCUUGAUAGUUCAUUUUUAAUUGCUAAACAAUAUUCCUUUGUAUGGAUGUCCCAUAGUUUGCCUAUCUAUUCACCCAUUGAAGUAUAUCUCAGUUGCUUUCGGAUUUUGAUGAUUGUGAAUAAAACUGCUAUAAACAUUCACGUGCAACUUUGUGGUUGAACAUGUUUUCAACUCACCUGGAAAUGAAUCAUAUAUGGUAAAACUAUGUUUAGCUUGAUAAAAGCUGUCAAACUGUCUUUUAAAGUGGCUGUUGCAUUUCCAAAAUGGAAAAUAUCAUUUUGCAUUUUCCACCAGUCAUGAAUGAGAGUUCUUGUUGCUCCACAUCCUUCCCAGCAUUUGAUGUUGUUUUCUGGGCUUUUUACCAUUAUAAUAAAUGCGUAGUGAUGUCUCACUCUUGUCUUAAUUUGUAACUCCCUGAUAACAUAUGAUGUUGGCAUGUCUCUUAUAUGCUUACUUGCCAUCUGUAUAUCUUCUUUGGUGAUGUGUCUGUUCAGAUAUUUUGUCCACUAUUUAGUUGGGUUGUUUGUUUUCUUAUUGUUGAGCUUAAGAGAUAUUUGUAUAUUUUGGAUACAUGUAUCUUCAUCAGGUAUACGUUCUGCAAAAUUUUCUCCCAGUCUAUGGUGUGUCUUUUCAUUCUCUUAAACUCUCAUUUUUAAUAGUUUUUGUUUGCUUUUUGCUUACAAUUUUGUAUAUUCUUUGUUAGAUAUAUUCCUG
rnacentral:lncRNA from 1 species